AAACUUACUGUCUUUGUCUUGUAUUCUGCAGUUUUUGAGAAUAAAUCCUGUUAUACUCAGUUGAAUUCAGUAUUCUAUGCAAAUGUUGAUCCAAUAUUUUUGGCUAUUUAAAAUAUAUUGAUAAUUUAUUUAUUGAAUGAAAGGAUAAGCUUAAUACAAACUUUUUCAUUUUCAAUUAUCUGUCUGUCUCUGUCCUGAACAAAAAGUUUUGAAGAGGUCCAUUUCUUAGAUGUUAAACUACAUAUAGUGAAAGGCAUUAUGUUGCUUCUGUUUACAUAUAUAUAAAAUAAUCCACUUUUAGCUGUAACAUUAAACCAGUUUCAUUAGAUUCAAGAACUACAAGCAAGUGGUAUUUUAUGCUUUCCUUUAAAAAAGAUCUUUAUGCAUUACUCAUUCUAGGAUCCUGUCUGAUUCUAAAAUGUUGCUAUUAUAAAUAAUUGAGAGUUAUACUUUCACAUUUUAUAUAAACAAAAUUUAGCCCAAUCAAGAGAUUUAUUUUUAUAAGCUAUAAUUAUAAUAUUAUAUGAAAUCAUGUCUUGGAUUCAAUUAUGCUGUGCCUCUAGACUAGUUAAUGACCCAAUUAGCAUUGUCCCUAGACUAGGGAUGCACGGAACAAGGCCCACAGGCUGCACGUGUCCCUCCAUUGAUUUGUUGAUGGCCCACUCAUUAUGUAGUAUUUUAACAAGUCACACAAUCAAUGAAAUUAUUUGUAGUUUUGAACAAUACCUUUUCAAAUAAUAUUUUUCUGAUGUGAAAUUAUGUUCACAGUAGUUCG
rnacentral:lncRNA from 1 species